rnacentral:tRNA from 1 species
GGCCUCGUGGCGGAAUUGGCAGACGCGAAGGACUCAAAAUCCUUUGCCCCAAAGGCGUGUGGGUUCGAGUCCCACCGAGGCCA